rnacentral:lncRNA from 1 species
UCUGACUACCAGUAUUCUUGGAUGCAGAAGUGCUGAAGAUGAGCACACACACGUACGGAGAAUUUCUGGAGAAUUCAGCUGCUCAGAACAAGAACUGAGAUCCAGAGAGAUGAUGACUUUGCCCAUAGACCAAACAAAGAAAUACAUGUUUCAGUCCUGUGUCCUCCUGCUAUGUGUGUCCGGAAUUGGUGGGUUCUUGGUCUCACUGACUUCAAGAAUGAAGCUGCGGACCCUCGCGCUCACAGGAUAUCGGCCAUGUUAAUGAGUCUGAUGUUGCUAGUAUCACAGGCACCGGAAAAUAUGCACAUUAUGCUGGAGCAUUAGAAUGCAACAGAAAGAGCCCUGGGCUUGGAGUAUGCAGAACUGGUUCUUGUUACAACUCCUCUUACUAGUGGGCUCUGGAAGAAAACACAUUGAAUUCAUGAUCAUGGUUAACCUUUGGAGAGAGAGAGGAGACCAGGAUGAAGGAGCCAGUCGAAGAUCCUGUUCAAGUGUACACUGAGCCAGCAGGUUCACCAGAAAGCUAUUGAGCGUUUGCUGGAACACAUUAUGCAGGGUGAAUUUCUUCUGGAAUGUUGCCAAGGAUUUUUUAUGCUUCUGUGGCAGGCAUUUCUUGAACAUUGUCAUUUAGCCAAGCAAAGAAGAUUUUCUUAAAGGAUAGAAAAUGUUUAAAAAUUUUUGUUUGUUUGAAGAUAGGUUAAAUGGCUAUAUGAUCUCAGGAUAAGACAGAGAAAAUCACUUAUUUCUCUAAGUGAUCUGAUUAGGUUAGUGAUGUUUUGCCUUUAAACAGAUUCAUCAUUAUUCCUAAAGUAUUGCUGUAUUAAUACUGUCUUCUAGAAAGUAUCCACCAGUGCCUACUUUUCUUCGAUAUCAUUAGCUGUUUUUCGAAACUGAAUUUGCUCUUCAGAGAUUUCUCAUAUGUUUGCGUAUAAGGAACUACUGGUAAUAGCCAAGAAAAUUUGGAGG